GGAGGAGUGGCAGAGCGGUUGAAUGCACCGGUCUUGAAAACCGGCGUACCGAGAGGUACCGGGGGUUCGAAUCCCUCCUCCUCCG
rnacentral:tRNA from 1 species